AUGAAAGAAGCAAAAUGCAUAGCCAGAUGAAACUCAAUACCUCACCAGAAAACAGAAACAAAAAUCAACACCAAACUACUGGAGUUAGAGACAGAAAAAGACCAACUAAUGUACAUAACAAGGAACAUGAUAUGAUGCUAAUUCUCUAUCUUGAGAAGGGAAUUGAGUGAGGUGCUGUUAAACCUCUGUGCAAGACCUCGGAUGACAAGGACGACGAUAUCACGGAGGUGCCGAGUCUGUACCAGCAAAUCCACUUCACUCUCACUGUCCACCACAAUCCUCAACCGGUGUUGAUCAUUUCGGAACAGCUCCACGUGGAAUGGAGGGGCAUA
rnacentral:misc_RNA from 1 species